UACAGAGGUCUCAAGCGUUGUUCGGAUUCAUUGAGCGUAAAGGGUGCGUAGGCGGCGCGGUAAGUCGGGUGUGAAAUCUCGGGGCUUAACUCCGAAACUGCAUUCGAUACUGCCGUGCUUGAGGACUGGAGAGGAGACUGGAAUUUACGGUGUAGCGGUGAAAUGCGUAGAUAUCGUAAGGAAGACCAGUGGCGAAGGCGGGUCUCUGGACAGUUCCUGACGCUGAGGCACGAAGGCCAGGGGAGCAAACGGG
rnacentral:rRNA from 1 species